AAAAAAGCAAAAAACAAAAAAUUCAAUCAUGGAUUAAAAAAAAACAAACAAACAUUUCGAUCAUGGAUUACAAAAAAAAAACAAACAUUUCGAUCAUAUAUUACAAAACAUUCGAUCAUGGAUUACAAAAAAUUCUAUCAUGGGUUACAAAAAAAAAACAAAAAAACAAAAAAAUCGAUCAUGGAUUACAAGAAAAGAAAACAAACAUUUCGAUCAUGGAUUACAAAAAAAUCUAUUAUGGGUUACAAAAAACCAAAAAAUUCGAUCAUGGAUUACAAAAAAAUCUAUCAUGGAUUACCAUAAAAAAA
rnacentral:lncRNA from 1 species